rnacentral:lncRNA from 1 species
GUUUCCAGUUUCGAUUUGACUUCGAACGCGUUUGGCCGCGUCCACCGAUUAACCGAGUGUGGAGAGUUACUGACUGAGCGCGUGACUACGACUAGCAGCAGCGACUAGGGUUUCAAUCAGAGACGCCAACGCUGAGGACAAUUUGAACGUGAGCGACUACAAGGCAGACAAUAGCGUGAUUACUUAGCUAGAGCUCGGUUAGUUGAUUAGUUUAAUUAGUCGACCGGUGUGUGCGUACGCGUGGCGCCGUUACGAACGCGAUUUUUCGAUUAUUCAAUUAUAGUUUGAAUUCAUGCAGUGAAAUACAGGGACUUAAAAAUAUAUAAAAAAUAAAUUAAAAAAAAUCUAAUAUUAAAUAUCAAAUGUAAAAAAAACGUUUGACUAUAAUUUUAUCUCGAAUAACAAUUUGCCGCAUUUACAAAAGAAUCUGUAAAUCCGCAUGUUUAUAUUUACUAAGGUAGUAUGCAAUAAAAAGGAAUUCUUUGUUCCAUCCUACGGUUUAAUUAAACAGGACAACACUGCUUGUGCUUAUUAU